rnacentral:rRNA from 1 species
AGCGAACGCUGGCGGCAGGCCUAACACAUGCAAGUCGAGCGAGGACUUCGGUCCUAGCGGCGGACGGGUGAGUAACGCGUGGGAACGUGCCCCUUGGUACGGAAUAGCCCCGGGAAACUGGGAGUAAUACCGUAUGAGCUCUACGGAGGAAAGAUUUAUCGCCAAGGGAUCGGCCCGCGUUGGAUUAGGUAGUUGGUGGGGUAAUGGCCUACCAAGCCGACGAUCCAUAGCUGGUUUGAGAGGAUGAUCAGCCACACUGGGACUGAGACACGGCCCAGACUCCUACGGGAGGCAGCAGUGGGGAAUCUUAGACAAUGGGCGCAAGCCUGAUCUAGCCAUGCCGCGUGAGCGAUGAAGGCCUUAGGGUUGUAAAGCUCUUUCAGCUGGGAAGAUAAUGACUGUACCAGCAGAAGAAGCCCCGGCUAACUUCGUGCCAGCCGCCGCCGUAAAAC